rnacentral:lncRNA from 1 species
CUGCCUCCUUCUUGGAUGAAUUUAUUUUUCAAAAAAAUGGUGUACCUACUAACAAAUACCUUUUGUUCAGUAGGAUGGUAGAAGUAGUAUCCAUUACUUUUCUUAGGAUAUCCUACAAACCUACACUUGUUUGAUCUAGCACUAAGCUUAUAAUAUCCAAAAAUAUUUUUGACAUAAGCAAGACAGUCCCAAAUCUUAAGAUGUUUAAGAUUUGACUUCUUUUCCUUCCAUA